GUUUCUGUAGUGUAGUGGUUAUCACGUGUCGCCUAACCACGCGAAAGGUCCCUGGUUCGAAACCGGGCAGAAACA
rnacentral:tRNA from 1 species